rnacentral:rRNA from 1 species
GAUGAACGCUGGCGGCGUGCUUAACACAUGCAAGUCGAACGGGAAACCUUUUAUUGAAGCUUCGGCAGAUUUAGCUGGUUUCUAGUGGCGGACGGGUGAGUAACGCGUGGGUAACCUGCCUUAUACAGGGGGAUAACAACCAGAAAUGGUUGCUAAUACCGCAUAAGCGCACAGGACCGCAUGGUCCGGUGUGAAAAACUCCGGUGGUAUAAGAUGGACCCGCGUUGGAUUAGCUAGUUGGCAGGGUAACGGCCUACCAAGGCGACGAUCCAUAGCCGGCCUGAGAGGGUGAACGGCCACAUUGGGACUGAGACACGGCCCAGACUCCUACGGGAGGCAGCAGUGGGGAAUAUUGCACAAUGGGGGAAAACCUGAUGCAGCGACGCCGCGUGAAGGAAGAAGUUUCUCGGUAUGUAAACUUCUAUCAGCAGGGAAGAUAGUGACGGUACCUGACUAAGAAGCCCCGGCUAACUACGUG